ACGUGUCUCUGGCGGGACCCGGCGCGCCCUGCUCCGGCCUGUGGGGCCGUGUAGCGGGUGACCGGUCCCGUCCAACCUUCACAAACCCACUGUGCACAUUUGCGGUGGAGGGCCUCUGGGCGAGAGCCCGUUGGCCCGAAGCCGCCCAACUAAACCCCAGUUUGAUCGAAUGACUGCGGCCUCUGCGUCGCCUAACAAACGAAA
rnacentral:misc_RNA from 1 species